rnacentral:rRNA from 1 species
AUACCGCGAAACUGCGAAUGGCUCAUUAAAUCAGUUAUCGUUUAUUUGAUAGUACCUUACUACUUGGAUAACCGUGGUAAUUCUAGAGCUAAUACAUGCUAAAAAUCCCGACUCACGGAGGGAUGUAUUUAUUAGAUUAAAAACCAAUGCCCUUCGGGGCUCCUUGGUGAUUCAUAAUAACUUCUCGAAUCGCAUGGCCUUGUGCCGGCGAUGGUUCAUUCAAAUUUCUGCCCUAUCAACUUUCGAUGGCAGGGUCUUGGCCUGCCAUGGUUACAACGGGUAACGGAGGGUUAGGGCUCGACCCCGGAGAAGGAGCCUGAGAAACGGCUACUACAUCCAAGGAAGGCAGCAGGCGCGCAAAUUACCCAAUCCCGAUCCGGGGAGGUAGUGACAAUAAAUACUGAUACAGGGCUCUUUUGGGUCUUGUAAUUGGAAUGAGUACAAUUUAAAUCCCUUAACGAGUAACAAUUGGAGGGCAAGUCUGGUGCCAGCAGCCGCGGUAAUUCCAGCUCCAAUAGCGUAUAUUAAAGUUGUUGCAGUUAAAAAGCUCGUAGUUGAACCUUGGGCCUGGCUGGCCGGUCCGCCUCACCGCGUGCACUGGUUCGGCCGGGCCUUUCCCUCUGGGGAUCCCCAUGCCCUUCACUGGGUGUGGCGGGGAACCAGGACUUUUACUGUGAAAAAAUUAGAGUGUUCAAAGCAGGCCUAUGCUCGAAUACAUUAGCAUGGAAUAAUAGAAUAGGACGUGCGGUUCUAUUUUGUUGGUUUCUAGGACCGCCGUAAUGAUUAAUAGGGACAGUCGGGGGCAUCAGUAUUCAAUUGUCAGAGGUGAAAUUCUUGGAUUUAUUGAAGACUAACUACUGCGAAAGCAUUUGCCAAGGAUGUUUUCAUUAAUCAGGAACGAAAGUUAGGGGAUCGAAGACGAUCAGAUACCGUCGUAGUCUUAACCAUAAACU